rnacentral:rRNA from 1 species
UCGAGGAUCUUCGGCAAUGGGCGCAAGCCUGACCGAGCGACGCCGCGUGUGCGAUGAAGGCCUUCGGGUUGUAAAGCACUGUCGAGGGGGAGAAAAGCCCGUAAGGGUCUGAUCUAUCCCUGGAGGAAGCACGGGCUAAGUUCGUGCCAGCAGCCGCGGUAAGACGAACCGUGCGAACGUUGUUCGGAAUCACUGGGCUUAAAGGGCGCGUAGGCGGGCCAUCAAGUCCGUGGUGAAAUCCCCCGGCUCAACCGGGGAAGUGCUGCGGAUACUGGUGGUCUCGAGUGGGGUAGGGGCAUGUGGAACUUCCGGUGGAGCGGUGAAAUGCGUAGAUAUCGGAAGGAACGCCGGUGGCGAAAGCGACGUGCUGGACCCCUUCUGACGCUGAGGCGCGAAAGCCAGGGGAGCAAACGGGAUUAGAUACCCCCGUAGUCC